AAGACAGGCAGAGGAAGCCGUUCCUGGGGGUGAAGGGAGAGACUGAAGCCACCAGCGGUGACAGAGGCUUAAUGUUAAUAUUCAUCAGAGAAGGCCCUGUGGCGUCUCAUCCCAAGACAUCAGAAUAGGUCACCUUUGGUGUUUCCCAGCUGCCCCUUUAGAAAGCUUCAGAGGGAUGGCUCAGUGGUUAAGAAGGCUUCACUCAGUGAUAGAUAAUGUCUCAAUUGAGCAAGGCUUACCUGUCCGCCAACCGUUCAACCAAGCCUGGUGGUGCCAUUCAUCAACAGCAGGAAGCUGGAUGGACUCAGAAACAACACAAAAGGAAAGCAGGCUCUUUGUUAGCUCUCCUGUCUGCAUUGCAUCAUAAUUAUGGUUUUAUACAGCCACCGAAUUCUUUUUAUUCCCCUAGGCAACAGCGCAGAAAGCAAACGUUUCUUUCAUUUUUAUAUGCUUCAGUGUUAAAACAUGCAUAGACCCUGU